AGAGACCUCAAGCGUUAUCCGGAAUCAUUGGGCGUAAAGCGUACCGAUAGGUGGUUAUACAAGUCAGAAGUGAAAUCUCCGAGCUCAACUCGGAAUCUGUCUUUUGAAACUGUAUGACUAGAGGGGCAAAGAGGAAGCUGGAACGAACGGUGUAGUAGUGAAAUGCGUUGAUAUCGUUCGGAACACCAAUAGCGUAGGCAGGCUUCUGGGUGCCACCUGACACUGCUAGGACGAAAGCGUGGGGAGCGAAUGGGAUUAGAUACCCCAGUAGUCCACGCUGUAGACGAUGAUGAUUAGGUGCUAGGGAGUAUCGACCCUCCUUAGUGCCACAGCUAACGCGUUAAAUCAUCCGCCUGGGGAGUACGGCCGCAAGGCUA
rnacentral:rRNA from 1 species